UUGGAAACUGGUUUACUUGAGUGCGAUAGAGGACAGUGGAACUCCAUGUGUAGCGGUGAAAUGCGUAGAUAUGUGGAAGAACACCAGUGGCGAAGGCGGCUGGCUAGAUCGUAACUGACGUUGAGGCUCGAAAGUAUGGGUAGCAAACGGGAUUAGAUACCCCGGUAGUCCAUACCGUAAACGAUGGGUGCUAGUUGUUAAAAGGUUUCCGCCUCCUAGUGACGUAGCUAACGCAUUAAGCACCCCGCCUGAGGAGUACGACCGCAAGGCUAAAACUUAAAGGAAUUGACGGGGACCCGCACAAGCGG
rnacentral:rRNA from 1 species